AGCGAACGCUGGCGGCAGGCCUAACACAUGCAAGUCGAACGAACUCUUCGGAGUUAGUGGCGGACGCGUGUGUCACACGUGGGAAGGUGCCUGUAGACUCGGAAAACCACAUUGUAGUUGGUGCUAAUACAGAAUGUGCCAUUCGGGGAAAAGAUACAUCGCCUUUGUAGCGGCCCGCGACCGUUUAACUUGUUGCGAAGGUAAGGGCUCAUCAAGGCGAAGCUCAGUAGCUGGGUUGAGAGGAUGCAACGCCACAUUGGGACUGUGACGCGGUCCAAAAUCCUACGGGAGGCAGCAGUGGGGAAUCUUGCGAAAUGGGCGAAAGCCUGAAGGAGCCAGGCCGGGUGAAUGAUGAAGGUGGGAGGAUUGUAAAAUUCUUUAAUCGGCGACGAUAAUGACGGUACCCGGAGAAGAAGCCCCGGCUAACUUCGUG
rnacentral:rRNA from 1 species